GCUCGACUGUAUGUGGGUAAUAUUCAACGCCAAGGACAGAUAUGUUUGCCUGUGUGGAUGGUCUUCAGCACCAAGAACAGGUCUGUUUGCUU
rnacentral:pre_miRNA from 1 species